GCCAGACAGCCAAUUUGUGAAUGCAAAGGAAAAGUUCUUGAAGGAAAUUAAAAGUGCUUGUCCAGUGAACACGCAAGUGAUAAGAAAGCAGAACAGCCAUAUUGCUGAUAUGGAGAAAGUUUGAGUGGUCUGGAUAGAUCAAAUCAGCCACUACAUUUUCUUAAACCAAAGCCUAAUCCAGAGCAAGGCACUAGCUCUCUUUAAUUAUAUGAAGGCUGUGAGACAGGAGGAAGAAGAAAAGUUUGAAGCUAGCAGAGGUUGGUUUAUGAGGCUUAAGGAAAAAAGCCAUCUUUAUAACAUAAAAGUGUGUUAUGGUUAGGCUUUGUGUCCCCACACAAAUCUCAUCUUGAAUUAUAAUCCUCAUAAUCCCCACGUGUCAAGGGAGAGAACAGGUGGAGGUAAUUGGAUUAUGGGGUGAUUUCCCCCAUUCUGUUCUUGUGAUAGUGAGUUGUCAUGAGACCUGACGGUUUUAUAAGGGGCUCUUCCCCCUUUGCUCAGCAUUUCUCUUUCCUGCUGCCUUGUGAAGAAGGUGCCUUGCUUUCCCUUUGCCUUCCACCAUGAUUGUAAGUUUCCUGAGUCCUCCUCAGCCAAGCUGGACUGUAAGUCAAUUAAACCUCUUUCUUUAUAAAUUACCCAGUCUCAGGCAGUUCUUUAUAGGAGUAUGAAAAUGGACUAAUACAAAGUAUAAAGUGAAGCAGCAAGUGCUAAGGUAGAAGCUGCAACAGAUCAUGCAGAAAAUCUUGAUAAGAUGAUGAAAGCGACUACCCUAAAUAACAGAUUUUCAAUGUAGACAAAACACCUUCUUUUGAAAGAAGAUGUCAUCUAAGGACUUUUUUUUUUUUUUUUUUUGAGAUGAAGUCUCGCUCUGUCGCCCAGGCUGGAGUGCAGUGGCACGAUCUCUGCUCACUGCAAGCUCCACCUCCCGGGUUCAUGCCAUUCUUCUGCCUCAGCCUCCUGAAUAGCUGGGACUACAGGCACCCACCACUGCGCUCGGCUAAUUUUUUGUAUUUUUUAGUAGAGAUGGGAUUUCACCGUGGUCUCGAUCUCCUGACCUCGUGAUCCACCCACCUCGGCCUCCCAAAGUGCUGGGAUUAUAGGCGUGAGACACCGCGCCCGGCCCAUCUAAGGACUUUGAUAGCUAGAGAAGAGAAGUCAAUGCCUGGCUGCAGAGCUUCAAAGGACAGAAUGACUCUUGUUAGAGGAUAAUGCAACUGGUGACUUUAAGUUGAGGCCAGUGCUCUCUGACCAUUCUGAAAAUUCUACAGCCCUUAAGAAUUAUGCUGAAUCUACUCGGCCUCUACUCUGUCAAUGGAACAACAAAUCCUGGAUGACAGCACAUCUAUUUAAAGCAUGGUUUACUGAAUAUUUUAAGCUCCCUAUUGAGACUCUGUUGAGACCGGAAAAAAAAGAUUUAUUUCAUAUUACUGCUCAUUAAUAAUGUUCCUAGUCACCCAAGAGCCCUGACUGAGAUUUACAAGGAGAUUAAUAUUGCUUCUUGCCUGCUAAUACAACAUCUAUUCUGCAGCCCAUGGAUCAAGGAAUAAUUUCAAACUUCAAAUCUUAUUAUUUGAGAAAUAUAUUUCAUAAGGCUAGACCUGCUUCAGUGAUUCCUCUUAUAGAUAUGGCAAAGUAAACUGAAAACUUUCUGGAAAUGAUUCACCACUCUAGAUGCCAUUAAGAUUAUUUGUGAUUCAUGGGAGGAGGUCAAAAUGUCAAUUUAUUAUAAUAGGAAUUUGGAAGAAGUUAAUUCCAGGCCUCAUGAAUGACUUCAUGACUUUAGUGGAGGAAGUACCUGAAGAUGUGAUGGAAAUAGCAAGAGAACUAGAUUUAGAAGUGGCACCUGAAGAUGUGACUAAAUUGCUGCAAUAUUAUAAUAAAACUUGAAUGGAUGAGGAGUUGUUUCUUGUGGAUAAGAAAAAAAAAAAGGUUUCAUUAGAUGGAAUCUAUUGCUGGUAAAGAUUCUCUAAACAUUGUUGAAAUGACAGCAGAGGAUUUAGAAUAUUACAAAACUUUGUUGGUAAAGCAAUGGCAGGGUUUGAGAGUACUGAUUCCAAUUUUGUAAGAAGUUCUAUGGGUACAAUGCUAUCAAACACCAUCACAUUCUGCAGAGAAAUCUUUCAUGAAAAGUCAACUGAUGUGGCCAACUUCAUUUGUUGUAUUAUUUUAAGAAAUUGCUGCAGCCAUCUAAACCUUCAGCAACCGCCACCCCCCCUUUUUUUUCUGUCACCCAAGUGGGAGUGCAGUGGCACUACCAUAGCUCACUGUAACCUCUAUCUCCCCAGCUCAAGUGAUCCUCCUACCUCAGCCUCCCAAAGUGCUGGGAUUACAGUCAUGAGCCACUGUACCUGGCCUAUCAGUCACCACCCUGAUCAGUCAGUAGUCAUCAAUACCAAGGCAAGACCCUCUAUAAGCAAAAAGGUGAUGACUCACUAAAGACUCAUAUGAGCAUUAGCAUUUUUUAGCAAUAAAGUAUUUUUAACUUAGGAUUUGUAUAUUUUUAGACAUAAUGUUAUUGCACAUUUAACAGACUAUAGUGUAAACAUAACUCUUUAUAUGCACUGAGAAACCAAAAAAUUUGUGUCAUUCCCUUUAUUGUGAUACUUUAUUGCAGUGGUGUGGAACUGAACCUGCAAUAUCUCUGAGGUAUGCCUGUACAUAAUUAUAUACUAUUUUAUAUUGGUUUUGAGUCAUUUCAUGCAGGUAAAUUUGAUUAUCUUAAUUAAAUUGCAAUACCUUUAAAGUCAAAGACUGAGUCUUCUUUGGACUUUUUAUUCUCAUGACAGUGAACUAUUGGCAUGGCUCAAUCCAUUGACCUGUUUUGGUUCCUGAUGAAGUUUUGUUAAUUUAAAUGAGAAAAAUAAGGACAGUGAAGUAAGUUUUUUAUAAAACUAAAUUUAUUUGCUUUAUAAAACAGUUUAAUAUUAUGCCUUUCCUAUAUUUUUUGUGUCAAGUUAUCUCUUUUUCUAGAUGAUUAUAAUAGAUGAUAAUUUUUAAAUGUUUCUAUUUGUCAAAGUACAACAUUGUCCAUCCUGUGUCAAUGUCUAACUUUUCCUUGUACUUAUUCAAAUAAUCUCAUAGUUGGAACUUAUUAAAUACUUAUUGUGUCACACAAUAUGCUGGUAAACACUGAAAUGGGGAGGGGUUAUUUUCAUUCUAUUUUAGAAUGGCACAGUUUCUAUGGUAUAGUGACUAAUCUGAACUAAUACGUAAAAGAUUAGGAAUCACUUGAGAAUCAUUUUCAAAGAAUAACUUUUUUAAAUGUAGCACACUGCUGACUUGUGUAAAAAUUAAAUGUGAUGCUGAACUUGUUUGAAACUCAAAUUUUUGGACCCCACCCACAGACCAACUGAAUCAGGAUCUCUGGGUUUAGGAACUUUAAACUCACACUUUAAAGUAGUUCUGCAAGUGAUUAGGAUGCAGAUGGUUCAUGGAGUUAAGAACAACUGCUUGAGCCGAGAUCGCGCCACUGCACUCCAGCCUGGGCGACAGAGCAAGACUCCGUCUCAAAAAAAAAAAAAAAAAAAAAAGAACAACUGCUAUCCUGGCAGGCUGAUGCAGAUAAACAGAGCGCUUAAAAAGCACUGUCUGGAUAUCUUCAGAGGGAAAAAGGAGAAAGUUAAUUGAAUUGGUGACACUUCGGGUCUCUCACAGAGGAAGACUCAUUCUGGGCCUGGCGUGGUGUCUCACACCUUUAAUCCCUGCACUUUUGGAGGCCAAGGCGGGAGGAUCGGUUGAGCUCAGGAGUUUGAGACCAGCCUGGACAACAUGGUAAAACCCUAUCACUGCAAAAAAUACAAAACUUAACUGGGUGUGGUGGCAUGCACCCGUAGUUCCAGAUACUCAGGAAGCUGAAGUGGGACGACCACUUGAACCCAAGAGGCCUGGGCUGCAGUGAGCUAAGAUGGUGCCACUGCACUCCAGCCUCAGUGACUGAGUGAGACCCUGUCUCAAAAAAAAAAGACUCAUUCUGGAUAAUUGCCCUUGUUUCUGAUUUUUUUCCUCUAGAAUUCUGAUUUUUUUCCUCUAUCUCAGUUGUGUCUUUGUCCAUUAAAAUAGGCCACAAAGAUUGAUGAUAAAUUUGUUCUCUGAGAUAGCACCUAGAGGAACAGUUAUCCAAAGUGUCCUGUGCCCUGUCAAAGACUGAAAUAACCACCAUUGCUGAAAUUAUGUGUUUAUAGAUAAUGCCUCCCUAUUUUGGCAUUUUUCUUUCAAAAAUGAAUUAUCACCAGUACCCACCUUUAUUCAUAUAUUUUAUCCGCAACCUCAUUGCUGAGUAUCUAAAAUAGAUUUGCAGCUGAAGAACUACUCAUUCCCUUGUCUUCCCAUACCAGGCCUGUAGCCUGCUUUCAAACUUAUUCCCCAUGCACAACACAAUGUGAGCUGUAUCUUAGAUUUAUUCUCACUUUGUAUUCGGAGUCAAUACACUUGGUAAGUGCACAGCUGUGACACACUAGGAUUCCUACAGGCUUUAAGCAAAUGUACGUGAUUUUAUCAGUCCCAGAAGACUAGCCCUUGAGAGAUUUGCUUGGGUAACAUUUUUGGCAGUGCUUCUUUCUUUGUUUUUAUUAAUAUUCUGGAUUCAUGUUUGUGAGACUCUCAAAUUUAUUUCAGAUUAGAUGAAGGUGACCUUCCCCUUCACCAAGCAGAAUCUCCCAUGAGACUCAUGAAUCCUCUUGAGGCCAAUUACAGCUAUCACUUGUUAACUAUUGGAGUACCUUCAGUCUUAAAAGAGCUGCUAGAAAAUUAAGGCUGCAACAUGAAAGAAGAACAAAAUGGUCAGGCAUAUCACACAUUUUUAUCAAAUGAUUUGGUUUAGGACUUUAUAACCUGGUUAGUACUUGAGCACUGAAAGAUAUUUUGAAUUUAAAGUAAGAUGGAGAAAGUGAUGGAAGCUAAAUCACAGAGGAUAGAAAUACGAUCAAUCAUAUUCAGAACAGAAGCAUCUUGGGCUCAAUGUCUGGGAACAAUGAGAUUAGGCUGCUUUAGAACUUAGCUGUCAUUUGUUUUGGUGACCUCCACCUGCAAGAGGACACUCUUCUGUCCCAGUGAGACUGAGGUGAGAAUCACAAGACCACUGCCCUCUAUCUCAUCUUUUCUCCAAGCCUUAGACCAUCAUGGGAUUCACUAAUAUCAUUCACACUUCAGGAAUGGUAUAUCAGAGUGAGCCCCUCUUUUCUGCUCAUCUUUCUGCCUCUCUAGAAAAGAGAUAAUUUCACUGUUUACCUCAGGAAACACAAAAACUAAUGAUAAAUGUAAAUGAUAGAUGAAGGAAGCAUUGAAAGCUGUAAAGUUGAAAGUAGGACCUAAUACCCUGUAGUAAUGUGUAUUCCUUUUUAAAAGAAAACACACGAGUCAUUUUAGAAAGGUUAAUUUCUGCUACCUUUCAAAAAUAGUCUCAGAAUAAUUGGAGAGAAAAAUUGUGACAAAACACUGGGGGCACUAUUGGUGAAAGAAAACUGUAUAUUCUUGUCUUUCAGUCAGGAAAGAAUAAUAUCUACUUGAUGGAAAUGAUUUUUUUUCCUCAGAAACUGUAGUACUGGCUACAAGAAAACAGAUAAUUUAAACUAUUAUUUCUCAGAAUGUUUUAUCUCCAUGACCCAAAGAUAGCUUCCCUCCAUGAGAAAAUAUCCCGGUGUUUGUUUUCGAGUUGUCAUCAACACAAAGCAGCAGCACCUUCACAUAUAAUGUGUUUCCACCUUUUCAAAGCAUUUUCACUUGUUUCUCAAUUGUUUAUUACAAUAAUAACCCUGUGUUGACAUUAUUAUCUUCAUUUCACAAAUGAGGCAGCUCAGAUUCAGACAUUAAGGGACCUUCACAAUAUACUUAGCUUAUGGUGGCAGAACAAAGGCAAAACCAAAAGUCCUUGCCAAAGACUACUCCAUUUGUCUUCAAUGGACUCCCUGAGUUUUUCAUUGUUGCUCUUUUGUGGUAUGGCUGAAGCCCUCCAAAUAUGGAAAAGACAAGCAAGUACAAGAUAGGCACUUAGAUUGUCAUUCCUCAACUGUCUUCUCCACAGCCUUUUCUUCCCAAUAUAUAAAAUACAGCAAUAAAGGACAGAAGACUAACAAUUUAAACACUGAACUGUUGCUCAAAUUUACUCCUACUGUAUAAUAGUAUAAUUUGUUCUUAUAAGGUUGUAAAACUGCACUGCAUACUUAAAUUGCAUGUUUCACAUGUCUAUACUAUUCAGCUCCUUUUCUCAUCUCUGUGGUGCCUACCCCCCAACAUACUACUGGCUUAACAAUUCCCAUGAAACAGUGUUUGAAUUUAAGAGGCAGGGCUGUGAGAAACACAAAUGGCCAUCCUGUCAUGUAUGUGCUUCUAUCACAGAAAUUUGAUUGUUCUCUAAAGGCAAGCAUGGAUUUUUUUUUUUAUUUCCAGCAGCUUCAAGGUAAUUAUCUACUUAACCUGCAUAGUAGCAGUUGUUGGGGCUCAGUAAACCUCAAAAUGUACCAUUUUGGUAUGCUAAUUAUUUCAAACUGAGGGCACUUGGGAAACAGCAAAUACAAGAAAGGGCUCUCUCUGAACUCCCGUAAGUGGCUGAAGAUAGAGCCUCCAAAAAGUAACACAAUAGUCAUAGGUAUCCUCCCUGGGAAUCUCAUCAGUGAAGGAAGAUUAACUCACAGGAGACACCACGCUCCAGAAAGACUUUGUCACAAACUAUCCAUCACCUCUUCUUCCGAUGAGAUCCUUGGAGACAACUUUUAUUACUUGAGAGAUGUUAUCUGUAUAACAAGACAACCUUUGUUCUCCAUGCAUUCCUUCCUCUUACUGUCCUGCAGCUUGUAUAGACACCAUCCCCCAUAAACCACCAACCCCUACGCCUUUCUUUAGCUCAGGAUGCUAUAAAAAAUUCUAUCAUCUGGCCCCUCUUCAAGUCCUCUACUUUGUGGGACUCCUGUGUGUAAUUAAAAUAGCUUUUCUCCUACUAAACUGUCUACUGUCAGUUUAUUUCAUAGAUUCAAUUAUUGAACCUUCAGAGGAUAGAAAAUUUUCUCUCCCCUACACAAUUAUAAGAGUAAUUUAGAAUUUUACUUGUUUUAUAUCAUUAGUUAUCUUUAUUUGUAUACAUGCAUAUGUCUUCUCUGUCACUCCAAAUGAAGUGAUACGCACAUAUAUAUGUAAAAUACAUAUUUCAUAUUUCUGUGUCCUGUUUUCCCUCCAUCCCUUGCAUUUUGCCUUGUGUAUUGUUAGUGUUCAAAUAAAUAUUUGUUAUAUCAAACAAGGAAAUUAAAGAUUGAAAAGUCCUACAAACCUAUCAAUAGUAAACAAUAGUGGCUGUAC